rnacentral:rRNA from 1 species
UUUGAUCCUGGCUCAGGAUGAACGCUAGCGGCAGGCUUAAUACAUGCAAGUCGAGGGGCAUCACGAAUAGCAAAACCUUCCUUUAAGUGGGGGAUAGCCCAGAGAAAUUCGGAUUAAUACCCCUUAAUAUUAUUGAGUGGCAUCAUUUAGUAAUUAAAGCUACGGCGCUUGGAGAUGGGUGUGCGUCUGAUUAGCUAGUUGGUGGGGUAAGAGCCUACCAAGGCGACGAUCAGUAACUGGUCUGAGAGGAUGACCAGUCACACUGGGACUGAGACACGGCCCAGACUCCUACGGGAGGCAGCAGUGGGGAAUUUUCCGCAAUGGGCGAAAGCCUGACGGAGCAAUACCGCGUGAGGGAGGAAGGCUCUUGGGUUGUAAACCUCUUUUCUCAGGGAAGAAAAAAAUGACGGUACCUGAGGAAUAAGCAUCGGCUAACUCCGUGCCAGCAGCCGCGGUAAUACGGAGGAUGCAAGCGUUAUCCGGAAUGAUUGGGCGUAAAGCGUCCGCAGGUGGCAGUGAAAGUCUGCUGUCAAAGGUCAGGGCUCAACCCUGAACAGGCAGUGGAAACUACACAGCUAGAGUGCGGUGGGGGCAGAGGGAAUUCCCAGUGUAGCGGUGAAAUGCGUAGAGAUUGNGAAGAACACCGGUGGCGAAAGCGCUCUGCUAGGCCGCAACUGACACUCAUGGACGAAAGCUAGGGGAGCGAAUGGGAUUAGAUACCCCAGUAGUCCUAGCCGUAAACGAUGGAUACUAG